CCAAGCUGAUGAGUGGAUUUACAAAAGAGAGCUUUUUAUUUAACUUUUCACAUCCAAUUUCAGACAAAACAAACACUCAGGUGGGUUCUCAGUCUACUGUUGGAUAGAGUGAUUCUCAGGGUUGUGGGGGAGCUGGUGCCCAUCUCUAGCGAUCGAUGGUCGAGAGACGGGGUACACCCUGGACAGGUCGCCAGUCCAUCGCAGGGCAACACAAAGACAUACAGGACAAGCAACCAUUUAGAGAGACCAGUUACUCUAACUUUUAUGUUUUUGGACUCCAGGAGGAAGCUGGAAUACCCAGAGAGAAUGCACGCAAACAUGAUGGUGGCUUGGCCAGACACUGCAAUGUAAGGACCCCUGGGUGCUGAUGGAGAACGACAACAACAACAGAGAGGAAACAUCUGCGGAGAGGGUCAACAGAACAAAGCAGAAUUUCCGCACAUGGAGAACAACUUGUGCUUCUCUUCCUUCUCCUUGUCAGUAAAUCUAAUCACAAUGUGAGCUCUUUAAA